UAUAACAGAUAGAGAAGCAUCAGGAAAAUGAAUCAUUUUUGAACUAAAGAAAAUGGAAACAGAAUUAUUUCUAUGUUCAGGAUUUCUGCAUAUUGAAUCUUUGUACUUUUAAAAUUGGAUUCUCUUCCUGAAAAAUCAUACUUGUUAUCCAUAAUGCUACUGAUCCCACAUGUUAAAGAAGAGAGCUGCGCCCUGUUCUGGCAUAGGGACUCUAUUUUUUGUUACUUUUAUUUGGGCAGUCCUAAGAAUUCAGACACUUGUAGGACUGAGGAGUAUGAUAAUAUCUGAAAGAAGGCUCUCUUUACAGUACUGCUAUGCAAACAUAUAGGUAGCAGACAAGAAAACACUGCAAAAAUACAAGGAAAAGCUUCUCAAAAACUUAUGCUGAUUUCUGCUGCCCAGAACACUUAAGGCAGGAGUCACACAAUGUAGAUAGAGCUUUUAACCUCACUUUCAAGAGCCUUAGCCAUGUACACAUACGCAGGAAUCCAACUACUUCUUGUCUUGUGUUAUUUUAACCCCUCCAGAUUGCAUGUCUCCUCCAUGAGCUAUCCAAUAUUUCUUGGGGGGUCUUCUAAUGUUCUCCUCUCCUCGGUAUCACAGUUAAGAGUAACUCCCAUCACAUUUAGUGACUACAAAAUAAAUAUCUUCAGAGCUGAGCAGUCAAAACCAGAAUGUUGAUAUCUGUUGACCACCUGGCAGGAUUUGAGAAGCCUGAAUUUUCUUCCAUGUUCAGUGAUAUAUGAGAAAUCAAAUAACUUUGUCCACCUCCUGCAAUGAAGCAGUGAGUUCUGAAUGUUUUCACUUGUCACUGUCAAGAGCUUGGUAACACUGACUGUUACUCAAGAAAUCUCCUCUUGCAGCCUAAAUUGCCAGAGUUUUUGUGUGGUUUUAUUUAAUUCCCUUAUUAGUGGAUGGAUUGCCUUCUGCCAUGGGUAUUUAAUUUUUAUUCUGGAGCAAAGUAGAACUACUCCCCGAACCCUAACAUGGAUGAAGAACAAUUUAAACAGUCAGCAGGACUAUCUACCCAAUACCUGGAAGAAAUGCUAACACCAGGGUUUCAAAAUGAGCCUGACUUGUCUAAAUGACAGUUGAAGUCCUUUGGUUUUGUGCUAGCAGUAGAUUAAACAAGAAGGAUGAAAGAUAGAGUUUCAAACACAAUCCCAGGAUCAUCUUUUUUUCCACAUUUUCAUCUUUUUCACAUUUUCAAGGCUAUCUGUAGAGAAAGAAAGCUCAACUCACUGCUAAAGUGACACAAAACGUACUUGAUACAUUUGUCUUCCCUCUAAAAAAAAAACCCUUUCAUUUUAAGUAUUCAUUUCCACUCACCAUCCUUGUCUUGAGGGAUUUCUUAUAUGGAUAGUACGAAGAAGAAAACAGAAAUCUGCAUUUAGAUAGAAAUAUCAGGAAAAAAAUAAUCUUACAGACAAGCUUAACGGCAUUGCUUUUUGUUCCUUCCAAUACAUGAAAUAAUUUUUCUCUUCCAUUCCUUAAACAAUGAUGCUCAAGAGGGGCUUCAGAGUCCCCUAAACACUGACUAUGAGAAUGUUAUGAGAGGUCUAGUUUUGUAUGGUGACCAAAUCUGCCUAAAUCAAAUGCCCCAAAAGGCAUAUUUUAUCCAUUUCGUAUAAGCAUCUUCUGUUUCUCAUUCACAUAUGCGCAGUGGUGUCAAUGAAAACGAAUGAGAGAGCUGAGGAAUAUCUUACUGUAUUCAUGCUCUGGGUCUUGAUGCAUUCUCUGUAAUGUGAAAAAGAAAAUGUUAAAAGUGACUGAUGAUGUUUUAACAGGUUUUCCUAGAUUUUGCAGGCUUGUUUUCAGUUCAUAAUUCACAUGGUAACAGAAGGCAACACCAUUGAUUUUUACUGUAGCAAUGCUUGGACAAAAUGAUCGUAAAAUGCUUCACAACAUUUUACACACUGAGACAAUUCCUCCCCCAGCUCACAUCCCAGGUAAUACCAGUGAUUUCCCAAAGGCCAGAUGAGACCCAGAGGAAUGCCUUUGGAGGCUACUUGUGCAUGAUCUGUAACAAAAGAGAAAUACCUUGCUCACUCAUGGAAUACCAGGUGCAAGGAAAGGGGACUACAGCUUGAGAAUAAAACUUCUGCUUAGAAUGUUCCCAUUCUGAAAAAUGGAAAAAUACUGGAUUAAGGAUUUUCCCAUUCACAUAACCUGUGUCUGUGGUUUUACUGUGGUCUUCUGUUUUCCUCCACAAAAUAAGAGUCUUUUCUUAAAUGGCAAAUUAAUGAAAAUUGCUUCUACAGCACCAAGCAUAUCAGUACGUUAUAGUAAAAUGUCUUCAACAUACUAAACUAUUGUAAAUCAUAGUUCAGUGGACACUAAAGUAGCAGGCAGAUUAAUGAGGUGAAUUCACAGUCAGCUGUUUUCCAGGAACAGCACGUGACUUGAUACUUAAGAUUUCCAGAGAAAACAGGUCAGUCAUAAUUGUGCUUUUAGCUAAUAAUAAUAUGUACAAAAAAAGCUUCCUCAGAGUUGUGUUUUCAGGGAUUAUGCUUAUGAAAGGACCACAUUUGCUGCAGUUGGCUCCCAAAAGCCCUUUGUUACAGAAAAUUACAUUUUGGUGUUCACAGUAUCUUUUAUUUUAUGAAAAAAAGCAUGGAAAUCUUAGUGUCAUUUAACAUGCUUCCCUAUAAGUUAACGUAAUGAAACUUGUUAUCUGAAAGACAGAAUAUAAAGCAGCUCUAGUAGACCCGAGACUGAUGUACCAUGGAAAGUAAUAGUGUCUCUGAGGAUCCCAGUGUCCCAGGUGCAUCAUUAACGAGCUAGCAGUGGUGAAGCAUCUAUCACAAGUCUGCCCUUCAAGUGAAGGAAAAUAGUUUGACCAUCUUCUUCUGAAGACUUAUAGUGAUGUGGAGCUCAUCUGAGUGCCCUCACCAAAACCUUUGAAAACAACACGAACAUGUGAUGUUAGGGGUACUUACAAAAAUUACUGAGGGUACAUAAGAUUUAUAAUAAUCUUUGGUUUUCAAAUGAAUCUUAUUGCAAGUCAGGGUACAAGAAGAGGUGAUCAUUGUAACUGUUUCUGUUUUUGGUAAAACAACUUGAAGUAGACGAAGUUCAAUAUGCCUGCUAUAUUGAGCUGGGAAUUAAUGGAGUUGCUGCAUGGAUUUGCUGUUAAUAGAAUAGUUGAUUUUCAGUUAGUGAGUCAAGAUGCUUAAUAUUAACUCCAAAAGUCCUGUCACUUGAAAAUGAAAAGUACUAUAAUGAAAUUCAGUAAGCUUAGAAGAAUCUACAAGGUCUGGGACUGCACAUUACUGUUGCAUGCUAUUCUUUAUUUAUCAUCAUCAACAUAUUGAUUACAGCAGCUUGGUGAAAGCUCUAUGAUAGCUGAGCUGAGAGGAGCAGAUGAAUGAUGAAGUAGAAGCAUGGCAAGGCUUCACAGCAGAGUGUUUGUGCUUACAGGUUAUAAUUAAUCUGUUGCUGCUAUUUCAUUAUUGGUAGCAGCUUGUAAAAUACAUAACUCAAUUCCCACUAAUGAUCUGAUAGUUUCAGAGUUAAAACAAAUACAUUAUUUUUACAAUUUAAAGAUGUAUGUGGCCAUCAGUCUGUAUUAUGACUUGAGAUAUUUACAACUUUGUUGCCUAAUUAUCCGAAUUGCAAAAUAACAUACAUGAUGUUCACUUGUAAUUAACUGGAUUUCUACUCCCAAGAUUUGAGGCCUUGUGAGUUACAGGUGAGCUAGAGAAAUAUGAUGGAGGUCAAAGAAAAAAGCCACUGGCCCAAGUAUUGACAGUUUUCCUGUCUGUUCUUACAACACAUUGAAUCUCUUGUCAGUAUGCUCAUAGCAAACUGCUGAGCCUUAUCACCUAACCAUAGGGUUAGGAUUAGGGUUUCGACAUCC
ensembl:lncRNA